GGUCUCAUGACCGGGAAGGGAGAAAAACAAAAGGGAGACGAGACACAACUCCAGGGGAAGGGUGUGUGUGCGUGUGUGCGCGCCCUCCCCGCCUCUGCUCCGGCGGCCGGCCAGGAGCAUCCUCCCACCUGGGGACCCGGAUCGCACCGCUCGCCGUGGCGGUCGCCUGUGCCGGCCCCACGCCCGCCGCCAACGCUCUGCGAAGCUGUCAGCUCGGUCCCUCCUCGUCGCCUCCACUUGCCGGUCCACCCCAGAGCUCGCGCUGGCGUUCCGGGACAGGCAGGCCGUUCUGGGUCCCGUGUUCACGGUGGCUGAAGAGACAGUGUGUUUGGGAGCUCUGCCACGUUUUUCGACUCCGAAAGGUUGGUGAAGUGUCAGCUGUGAUUUCACCCCGCUCAACCUGGAAUCUAAUUAUCCGAGGCAGCGUUCUUAAUGAGACUGGUUGGUCCUGGAGCCUAUGAACUAGGUGAGGAGGCUGGCAGUCGAGCAGGCUGAAGAGGCUGCUGAAAAGAUGUCAGCAUCUGGACAAGAAGUGCACAUUUGCAACUUUAAAAGGCUGGAGAGUAACUGAUGCAUGCGAUUAUAUUUAUGGCUCGGAGGAGGGUCUGGGUUGUCACAGAUGAGCUCAUACACAUCCGGAAUGUUGAACUUCCCUUGCAUAGCUCAACACAAAAUGCCCAUGUUCCUUUGGAUCGGGCAGUCGAAGCUGGGAUUACUGACAGUAACGUCUACAGCCCAUGUUUUGUCCUAGGCAAUAACAGUGUGGUAGUAAUUUUAAGUGUAACCAUAUCAGCUUCCAGCAAGGUGGAGACGAAGUCUGCUUAUAUGUAAAGUCAUGUGCUCCCUUAAGUAAAAAGCUGAGCAGAGAAAAAAGGAACAGCACUCAAACCCACCCCCACCCCCCCAAGGAGUUGCCUCCAUAGCUCUUGUCUUCUACACAUGUGCACUCAGACGUCAUUACAGAGAAGAUCAAACUUGAGUGGUCUGGGGUGCUCCAUCGCUGUUGAUUAAAGAGAGUUCUUCUGGGCACUCCAGCAAUCUUCCAUCUCUCCCGUACACAUUUGAAAAAUGGCGGUUCCUGGUGUGUGAGAGCAUAGCCUUUGGAAUUAGGUCCUAAUCUCAGCUCUGCCAGACUAUUAGCUGUAUCAUCCUGGACAGGUUACUCAUCAGCUCUGAUUCUCGGUUACUUUACUCAUAAAAGGAGCAUAAGAACACCUAGCUCAAAGAGGAGUUUUUAGGAUUGAAAUUUAAUCAAAAUUUAAUAAAAUAUAUGUAAAGCCCCUAGCAUGAUACUGGGAACUUAAUCUUCAAAAACAAGCAGCUGUAACAAUUUUUUAAUUGUAUUUUUGUUUACCCCAUACACUUCAUAGAAUUAUUCUUUUCCUUUUGGCUUCCUGCUCUUGAAAAUUCAACGAACCUACUAUUAGUGAAAGUUCUGUGAUUACGAAGAUAAGCAAGAAUAGGUCCUGCCCGCAGGAAGUUCACCCUUCAGCCUUGGAGAAAUACCUAUAGAAGCAACUGUGCUGAUGCUGGCGGGCUGAAGGCAAGCGCCUGGGCCCUCGCACUUUGUGAUGACCUGCCCUAGAAGUAUUUAACUAAGUAAGAUGUAGAUUUAUUAAUACUCAGGCAAUGGCAAAGCUUAUGGAAGCAGUUAGGAAAAUGGCCUCCCCGAGCAAGCAAACAAAAUCUCACAUUUUCACAAAAAUGAGGAUUACCUUUAAAACUCCAUCUAAUUAGUAUAAUUCUGCAGUUUUUGAAAAUUUUCUGGUCCAGUGUAAGAGGCAGCCUCUUUUUUUGCAUUUGUGUGAAAAAUAUGCCAGGUUGUACCUUUGAGGUAAUGUUGGAGAAAUGUAGUUAAUAGGAAGGACUUCUGGUUGUUAAUUAAUUAGACCACUUUAAUCAAGAACUAUUUUCUGGGAAACUUAUUCCCAGCCCUGGGCCAGGUGCUAAGGAAACAAAGAUGAUGCAGAUACAGACUUUGCCCUUCAGGAACUCAUUCCACAAAUGUUUGUUGAUCACCUACUGGGGAUGCAGUGGUAAGACGUUGAGCUUACCAGAGGGAGAUUACAUACAGAUCUUCCUCAACUUACCGUGGGAUCACAUCCUGAUAAACCCAUCGUAAGUGGAAAAUAUCAUAAGUCAAUAAUGCAUUUAGUACAUCUAAACUACCAAACGUCAUAGCUUAGCCUAGCUUACCUUAAACGUCCUCAGAACACUUACGUUAGCCUAUAGUUGGGCAAAAUCAUCUAACAGAAAGACUAUUUUAUAAUAAAGUGUUGACUAGCUCAUGCAAUUGAUUGAAUGCUAUACUGAGAGUGAAAAGGAGAAUGGCCAUGUGGGUACAGAAUGGUUGUAAGUGUGUCAGUUUUUAUCGUAUGAUCUCGGGGUUGCAGGGCACUGCAGGGGCUGCCCCUGCCCAGCAUCACAAGAGAUGACCAUAUGGCACAUGGCUAGCCUGGGAAAAGAUCACAAUUCAAAAUUCGAAGUCCACUGUCUACUGAAGGCCUAUCACUUUCGCACCAUUGUAAGGUUGAGAAAUUGUAGGUGGACCCAUUGUAAUUUGGGGACUGUCUGUGAGCACAUACCUUUCCAGCUCAAGAAGUGUUUGAUUGACAGGGUUUGGGCAAGGCAAAAAUAUAUAUAUUGCCCCUCCCCCAGAAUGUUUUAUGUUCCUCAAAACAAAGAGCAACUCUUGAAAGAAUAUUCUGGACGCUACAGCCCAAGUGGACCUGGGACUCUCGCUGGCGUUAGGCGGAAUUGUGAGGAGCGAAGUUGUGUUCGAUUCCCCCAGAGCCGGGCCUAUUUGAAUAGCUUUCUGGCCUCUCAGUUCCUGUCUUUCUGAACCGUUUGGCUCUCCAAAGGACUGCCGCAAUGAGGAUUCGACAACACAAACCCAAUUAUAUGAUUUCUGUGCUUAAAAACUUUCCUGGCUCCCCAGGAUCUGCGAAGCAGGGCACACGAGACCCUUUGUGAUCUUGUGCCAUCCCGCCCUCCAGCCUCAUCCCCUGAGACCCACAUGGAGGGUUGUCAGAUCUAGUUAAUAAAGAUACAAGAUGCCCAGUGAAAUUUCAGGUGAACAACAUUGUUUUGGUAUCCAUACGUCCCAAAUAUUCCAUGGGGCGUACUUACACUAAAAUGUAUUCACUGUUUAUCUGAAAUCCAAAUUUAAGCAGGCGUCCGGUAUUUUAUCUGGCAACCCUACUCAUGCCAGUCUGACUGAUUACCUUGCUGUUCCCCACCAGUCUCUUCGUGCCUCUGUGAGUGCCUGAUAACCUCUCCACCCUGCCCCUUCUCCACAUGAUAUUCUGCUGUUCUGCUUCAAAAGCCAGUCAUGGGGUUCUGGAACUCCACAGGUGUGAGCUUGGGAUCCGAGGUGCCAGGUGGGGGCCUGGCCACCUGUGUGCCUUGUUCAGUAUCUAGGCUUCUGCCCCAGUUCCUGUUCAUUGUUUUCAUUCUCCCUCCUGGAACUGGAGUUCUGCCCUGAACCCCAGUUUACUUGGCUGGGACCUACAUACGGUUUUGCAGUCUUGCCAACUCUCUCCCUGCGACUGUGGGGCUGGGUCCUUUCCCCCAGCUGCUCGUUGGGCUCCUGACCUAAACUGGAUGGAUCAAUGAAACCUGCCUCAGAUACUGCCACCUUCCUGUCUUGCGUACUACAAAAGAUGGACAAGACACUCAGGUGAGAGCAGGUCUGUGAGAGUGGUUUAUAGAGUGUAAAGCUCCAUGGUGAUUUAGUUUAGAGGCUGAUGUCAAACUCUUCACCUGGUCCUGGGUACGAGAGCCCCGCUUCUGUGGUGAUCUGGAUUUCCCUUGUUUCUGCUCCUGCCUAGUGAUGUAUGAUGCUGAAAAGGAUGUGAAAAUUUUCCAAAUGUCCUCUAAUUUUGGUUAGUGCGUUCAGCCACGCUGGCUAUUACAUUAUGAAUGGAUCUGGACCAGCCGCUUUAAUUUUUAAAAUUUUAAUCUUGUGAUCCAGGACACACCUCUUGAUAACUGAAACCAAAGUCUCGUGAACUCUGUCAUACCCUGAAUGUGUGUAAUGAACUCUGCUAUUUUCUGUUCUAUUUCAUCUUUUAAAAGCUGGUCAACCCACCAAAUUAAUUUCAUAACCCCCUAACGCAUUGACACUUGCAUUUUGCUACACACUGAUCUGUACUGUCCAGUGAGAUUUCCUGUGUUAACCAACCGACUGGAGCACUUGUCAAAUGCCUAUGUCAUCUGGUGCUGCCUCCCGUAGGAACCACCUUGCCCACAAAGGGAGCUGAGGCCACCUCACUGAGGUCAGUCACAGUUGCUCCUGCCGAAUGGUCAGCGAGCAGAGUAUGGUGGCUGGACUUUCUGAGCUGCCUCGGGUUAAUAUAUAAAAUUCCUGCAAGGCCGUUUAUAAAGAGGGAGAGCUGCAAGAUGGUCACAGAUGACAACUACAUCCAUCUUAGAAUAGAGGGAUACUAUGUGGGGGCAAUUUUUUCUCAGACAUUUAAAAUUAUUCCUGGUUGAGUUAAAGAGACUCUUAGGUUUCUGAGAUUUCACAUUGAUUUCGGAGAUAAAAUAUGAAUGAAAGCUCUGUCACUCAUUGCUAUGAUUUUGUUUUCCCUAAAUGGUGGGCAGGCUAAUCCGACAUCAGACUGUUUAAGAAGCUGGGCCACUGUAGAUUCCAGAGAAAAUAAGGAAAAUAUAUGGGAAGGAAGAUAUUGUUCAAAUGGAGUAGAAAGAAGACAAAUUAUCUAAGGAAUUCUUGUGAUACAGGUAGUCAGUCCAGCUGCUAGAAUUCAGGGUUUUCUCUCCCCUCACCCUCUUCUCUUACUCGGGGCUGCCUCAUUCAUUUUUCUUUAUGAGAUGGUUUUAGUUUCGUUUGUUUUGUUGGCCUCAAAAAGACCAGUUUGAGAUCUGUGGUGGCACAAAAGCUAGAUUGGAGACAAUUUAAGAGAGAACAGGAGAAGAGGAAUUCCAGGCUGCUACUAUAGACAACCGUUUAGCUACAAGUGGUUACAGAGAAAUAAGAUGGUAACCAAACGCAGGAAAUAGAGUCAAGGGGAGAUUUUUGUUUCUUUGUCUUUAAAGUGCUUGCAAUGAUCUGUUUGUAUACUGAUGGAAAUCAUCCAGUAGAGGAAAACCCAUGAUGUAGGAUAGAAAGGGAGGAUUUGCUGGUCUGCUGUUCUUGAGUCUGCUAGAGGGUGGGACCUCGUGCACAAGUGGAAGCUUUCCCAUAGGAGCCGAGAGUGCAUCCUGACUGGCAGGAGGCGAGGCAGGGUCUAAGGGGUUCAUCUGUAUGGACGUGUGGAUGCCGUAAGAGUGAGUGGAAGCUCUCUUCUGAUUCUUCAGUUUUCUCAAUGAGGAAAGAAGAAGUCAUCAGCUGAGAGUGAGGAUGAUGGAGAAGAGAGGAGUGGGUGCGAAACGUCCUUUGGCAGAAAGGGAAUGUAAGAAAACGAAUGCAUCAGGGAGACAGAGGAUGUUAGCUGGGAAACAGGGUCUUCUUAAGUUCCUGGUGACAAGUUUAAAGUGAGACUGGUGUAGGUAGAAAGUUGGGUUUCACCAGGGUCGUGAUUUUGCCUCCCAGUGUGGCAGAAUUACGGUGAGCAAGGGAGUUCGGGGAGUGAUUAUAUGUAUUGACCCUGAAUUUUAGGCUGAGUAAAGGGGGAAUAGAGUGCCUCAAAGAGUGAGGGAAGGUGAAAAAAUGGUGCCUAAGAGGCUCCUCCCUCUGUUCUUUGCAUGACUGGCUCCCUCUUGUGGUUCAGUCAUUCUCUGAUAACACCCUUUUAACUCUCUUCGGAAUACCUAAGGUGUUUUCUUUUUACUUUCUUUUAUCUGUCUGUCUGUCUGUCUCUCUCUCUCUCUUUCUCUCUCUCUCUCUUUCUUUCUUUCUUUUUAUCCAUCUUUCUCUGUAUCUGUCUCUGUAUCUAUCUCUGUAUCCAUGUAUCUGUCUGUUUCACACUACUAGAAUAUAAAGUCCAUGAGAGCAAGGAGCUUGUCUGUAACGUUCAUUAUUUUAUAGCCACAGCACUUAUUUGGCACAGGAAAGACCAAAAAGUAUUUGCUAGAAUGAUGAAUGACUAGGACAUGGUUUUAAGAUCUUCACCAUCCCGAUCAUGCUCUUCUGCACGUGCUCCUGUUUGUCAGUUUUCUCCUUCUAACCUCCACCAAGAGAAAGAAGCUCCCUCGCCCAGGGUUCGAGCUGCUUGCUGAACCAUCCGCUUCGGCUCUCCUAGGAGGCCUGCCUUCUGAGCGUGUGGAGAGGAGACCUCAGGAGAACACUACCACAGAGUUAGGAGGCACCACAUAUUUCAGAGGGGAGACAGAAAGGGCGCCACCAAGACACAAUAGCUUUCUGGUUUGUUUUAUUUAAAACAUCUUUAUUGAGGCUUAAUUUAGAUACCAUCAAAUUCACCCAUUUUAAAUGUAAACCUUGUUGAAUUUUAGUGAGUUUAUGCAAUUAUACAACCAUCACAAUGAUUCAGUUUUAGAGCACUUUUAUUACCGUGAAAAUUCCCCUGUGCCUGUUUGCAAUCCAUCUCUGCCCCCAACCCAGCCCUAGGCAACCACUGAUUUUUCUGUCUAUAGUUUUGCCUUUUCUAGAAUUUUCAUAUAAAUGGAAUCAUGCAAUAUGUAGUCUUCUGUGUCUGCCUCCUUCCGUUUAGUAUAAUGCUGUUAUUGUGAGGAGUAUUCCACUCUAUAGAUACACAGCAUUUUGUUUAUCGAUUCACCAGUUGAUGGACAUUGUUUCCAGUUGGGGCUGUUAUGGGUAACACUGCUAUGAACAUUUGUGUACAAGGCUCUGUGUGGACAUACAUUUUCAUUUCUCUUGGGUCUAUACCUAGGAGUUGGAUUGCUAAGUUGAAUGAUAAGUGCAUGUUUAACUUUUUUAAAACUGCAGACAGAUUUCCAGAGUGGCUGUCCCAUUUUAGAUUCCCACUAGCAAUGUAUGUGUUUCUCCAUGUCCUCACCAACACUUGGUCAAAGUCUUUUUUGUUUUAGCCAUUCUAGUAGGUGUGUAGUGGUAUCUCAUUUUGGUUUUAAUUUGCAUUUCUCUGAUGACUAAUGACAUUAAGCAUUUUUUCGUGUACUUAUUUGCCAUAUAUAUAAUUUUUUUUUAAAGACUGGCAUCUGAGCUAACAUCUGUUGCCAAUCUUCUUUUUUUCCUUCUUCUCCCCAAAGCCUCCCAGUACAUAGUGGUAUAUCCCAG